rnacentral:lncRNA from 1 species
CAAACCAGAAUCUCUUUAUCUGACCACAGGGAUUUCCCUCUGGAGGCGCAGUAAGACCCUGAGACCUCAGAACACCUAAGGAACCUUCCUGACAAUCAUCCUGCUAAUGCCUCAUGGGAAAUUUGACCUUUGGUCUAGACUGCAGGUGCCAAAUGAAACUGUGGUCUCACAUUCACAAAACACCCCAUUUAUCAGACCAAAACAGGAAAGCACAUGGCGGGUUGUGGACGCAGUCAUUCUAAAUGGCCCAGUUAUUUUCCUGUGAAUCCAAGGGAUCUAAAAAGAAAGUCAUCUUCCUUGGCCAGGAAUGAUACAGUCAUUGGAACACUGAUACGCAAACUAAACACCACGGGAUCAGAAUUGUCUCUGCAGAAGGAACCGUCUGUCUGUCAAGGCUAA